AUAAAUGCAGCCUUAAAUAAAAAGUGUGCGCCUCAUUGCGCAUUAACUAGAAUCAAGCCCAACAAAUGUCUGUUUUAAAAACAGUGGAUGCGUAAUUCACUCCUUGAUUUGCUUAA